rnacentral:rRNA from 1 species
CGGAAUUAUUGGGCGUAAAGCGCGCGCAGGCGGAUUGGUCAGUCUGUCUUAAAAGUUCGGGGCUUAACCCCGUGAUGGGAUGGAAACUGCCAAUCUAGAGUAUCGGAGAGGAAAGUGGAAUUCCUAGUGUAGCGGUGAAAUGCGUAGAUAUUAGGAAGAACACCAGUGGCGAAGGCGACUUUCUGGACGAAAACUGACGCUGAGGCGCGAAAGCCAGGGGAGCGAACGGGAUUAGAUACCCCGGUAGUCCUGGCCGUAAACGAUGGGUACUAGGUGUAGGAGGUAUCGACCCCUUCUGUGCCGGAGUUAACGCAAUAAGUACCCCGCCUGGGGAGUACGACCGCAAGGUUGAAACUCAAAGGAAUUGACGGGGGCCCGCACAAGCGGUGGAGUAUGUGGUUUAAUUCGACGCAACGCGAAGAACCUUACCAGGUCUUGACAU